UCUCGUUCCACAAGCCAACGCAACCGCCGCCUCCUCGCCUCCGCCUCUUUCUCCGGGGGCCUUGCAGCUGCAGCAGGAUGGGAGUCAAGGGGGCGAGCGGGAUGGGCGGCCAGCUGGUUUCUUCGCCAGAUCUGCAGCCCAGGGGCGACUCCGGACCGGGGAGUGGCGGCAGUGGCCAGGCCUAGUGGUGAUGGGACAAUGAACUGGUCGGAGGCGCUGCAUCGGCGGCAAGUUGGUCUGCAACGACAGCAAGACGAGGGAGAUCGUGCACCCGCGGUGCCAAAGCUCAAGGGCCAUUAGGGAGCUGAACUCAGAUAUAUCCACCGUGCAGGACAAUGCCUUGGAGCUCCUGCUAUGUGGCUGUGGUUCCGGUCUUCUUUCCUGUACUUAAAUCUCGUGUUUGUUCGAUCUUAUAGGCUUCUUCAUAUUUUGCAUAUUCAUCAAGACGUGGCAGUCUACUCUGCUAUUUUGGCUAUCAUGGUCAAAAUAGCAGUAUGGAAUAAAUGAGACUUCCGUUCAAGCUACUGAUAUUAAGGUGUUCUUAUGUUUUUUUGGUGGGCUUUCAAGCCACUUGUGUUUGCAUUUUGUCCAAAACUCAUGAAGAUUGAAGGAUCUUCUGAAGAAUAACCGGCAUAGCAUAUGGGUGCACGUGUGGAGCCAGUUCAGAGCAUACGUAGUAGUAGCAGUCGGUAAUGCAUUACAGGGCAUGUACAAUUUUGAAAUUGUAAAAUUUCACUAUGGCACUAAGGUGCUGUCUUUUG